rnacentral:rRNA from 1 species
AACGAACGCUGGCGGCAGGCCUAACACAUGCAAGUCGAGCGCCCCGCAAGGGGAGCGGCGGACGGGUGAGUAACGCGUGGGAACGUGCCCUUUGCUACGGAAUAGCCCCGGGAAACUGGGAGUAAUACCGUAACAGCCCUACGGGGGAAAGAUUUAUCGGCAAAGGAUGUGCCCGAGAUGGAUUAGGUGGUUGGUGGGGUAAUGGUCUACCAAGUCGACGAUCCAUAGCUGGGUUGAGAGGAUGAUCACCCACACUGGGACUGGGACACGGCCCAGACUCCUACGGGAGGCAGCAGUGGGGAAUCUUGGACAAUGGGCGCAAGCCUGAUCUAGCCAUGGCGCGCGAGCGAUGAAGGCCUUAGGGUUGUAAAGCUCUUUCGUGGGGGAAGAUAAUGACUGUACCCCAAGAAGAAGCCCCGGCUAACUCCGUGCCAGCCGCCGCUGUAACAC